rnacentral:rRNA from 1 species
GACGAACGCUGCGGCGUGCUUAACCCAUGCCAGUCGAACGGAAAGGCCCUGCUUUUGUGGGGUGCUCGAGUGGCGAACGGGUGAGUAAACCGUGAGUAACCUGCCCUUGACUUUGGGAUAACUUUCGGAAACUGGGGCUAAUACCGGAUAGGAGCCCCUGCUGCAUGGUGGGGGUUGGAAAGUUUCGGCGGUUGGGGAUGGACUCGCGGCUUAUCAGCUUGUUGGUGGGGUAGUGGCUUACCAAGGCUUUGACGGGUAGCCGGCCUGAGAGGGUGACCGGCCACAUUGGGACUGAGAUACGGCCCAGACUCCUACGGGAGGCAGCAGUGGGGAAUAUUGCACAAUGGGCGGAAGCCUGAUGCAGCAACGCCGCGUGCGGGAUGACGGCCUUCGGGUUGUAAACCGCUUUCGCCUGUGACGAAGCGUGAGUGACGGUAAUGGGUAAAGAAGCACCGGCUAACUACGUG